rnacentral:tRNA from 1 species
UCCCUGGUAGUCCAAUGGUUAGGACUCCACACUUUCACUGCCGUGUCUCACAGGUUCGAUCCUUGGCCAUGGAA